CAAUGCCGAUGCUGUUUUUGUGAUUGAUGCCGAUUCCAAGGCCGAUUAAUCGGUCGGACUCUAAUUCAACGUACAUAUAUUAAAUUGAUAAUAGUCAAAAAUCUGUUCACACUUUUGAUCGCUUUCUUACAGUGUCGGUCAAAUAUUAACGUUUCACACGAGAAAAAGUUACAAACAAACAAACAAGCAAGCAAACAUACAAGUGAAGCACAUCAUGGAUGAAAUAACCGUUGAAAAUCUAAAUAGUGGCGGAAGAAAGGAAUGCAAACCGAAUAAUAUAUUUUGGAGACUUUUAUAGUGUGAUCCUCGUUUUAAUUUUCAAGGCUCUACCAUGUUGUCUUCACAACAGAAAAUAAAGACCGAGACAUUGAAUUACCAAAACACCAACAUGCUGUGUACUGAUUGUUUGUCUUCUACAUCGAGCAACACUUUUAUCGGAAGGCUGAAUGUAGCAGUUCCACCACUUUGUUAAAUUUAAUAGUCCAUUUUUCAAAUUUUGAUGAUAUUAUGGAUUACGACGAGAUUAGUGGAUCUGAAGAAACCGCUAACUGAAGAAACAAUAAGUACAAAAGAUCUUUCAUUGCAGUCAUUCUAUAAUUAUAAUUGGUCGGGAAGUAAUGAAAAUUUUUUUUGCAUGGAAUAGGUACUGUAUUAUCACAUUCGACAUUUUUUUUUUUAAUUUUUGAUACCUCGGCUACCAUCACCUCUUUGCACGGACAUAAAUCAACAAUUGUUGGCAUCGUACUUAAGUGUACUUCUUGCAGUAACAAAUGACUUAACUGGACGUCCAGAUGACAUAUUCGAUGGUAAAAUCCAAGACAGAUUGUCAGAAUGGCAAACCAAUUCUGAUUUUCAAUGGUGCCGCCGAAACUGAUUAGAUUUUCAUCUUUUCGAAUAUAAGAAAAACCAAUAUUCGAAUCAACUGUGCUACUAUUUAUUCAUGGGGCAAAAUUAUCAAAACAAAUUUUUUUGGAAAUUUUUUUAAAUUUAAUCACAUAAUUACCUCAAAAUAUUAAAACUGAAAAAUGGAAUUAAAAUGAAAAGUUAUUUCAGCUUUUAUUUUAAGAUUUUAUGUUAAGAUUAAACCAUAAUUAUAAGUGUUUUAA